rnacentral:piRNA from 1 species
ACUAUCGGUAUGUCGAGGUGUUGAAGUC